GGAAAUGUUCACACAGGAGCCAAACCUCCCUGGCUGAUCGAGGAAGAGGAGGAGAUAGGAAGUCAACAGCAAAUUGGACCAUCGUAUGAGGAAUUUCUCAAACAGAAGGAGAAGCAGAAACUGAAGAAGCUCCCAGCGGACCGUGUCGGUGCCAACUUUGACCAUAGCUCUCAGACGGGCGCCGGCUGGCUCCCUUCCUUCGGGCGGGUGUGGAACCAGGGCCGGAGGUGGCAGUCCAGGCAUCAAUUUAGAGCUGAGUCGGGGGAAAAGAAG